rnacentral:rRNA from 1 species
UAGGGAAUCUUCGGCAAUGGGGGGAACCCUGACCGAGCAACGCCGCGUGAGUGAAGAAGGUUUUCGGAUCGUAAAGCUCUGUUGUUAAGGAAGAACGAGUGUGAGAAUGGAAAGUUCAUACUGUGACGGUACUUAACCAGAAAGGGACGGCUAACUACGUGCCAGCAGCCGCGGUAAUACGUAGGUCCCGAGCGUUGUCCGGAUUUAUUGGGCGUAAAGCGAGCGCAGGCGGUUAGAUAAGUCUGAAGUUAAAGGCAGUGGCUCAACCAUUGUAGGCUUUGGAAACUGUUGAACUUGAGUGCAGAAGGGGAGAGUGGAAUUCCAUGUGUAACGGUGAAAUGCGUAGAUAUAGGGAGGAACACCGGUGGCGAAAGCGGCUCUCUGGUCUGUAACUGACGCUGAGGCUCGAAAGCGUGGGGAGCGAACAGG